GACGAACGCUGGCGGCGUGCUUAACACAUGCCAGUCGAACGGAAAGGCCCUGCUUUUGUGGGGUGCUCGAGUGGCGAACGGGUGAGUAACACGUGAGUAACCUGCCCUUGACUUUGGGAUAACUUCAGGAAACUGGGGCUAAUACCGGAUAGGAGCUCCUGCUGCAUGGUGGGGGUUGGAAAGUUUCGGCGGUUGGGGAUGGACUCGCGGCUUAUCAGCUUGUUGGUGGGGUAGUGGCUUACCAAGGCUUUGACGGGUAGCCGGCCUGAGAGGGUGACCGGCACAUUGGGGCUGGGGAUACGGCCCAGACCCCUCCGGGGGGAAGGGGGGGGGAAUAUUGCACAAGGGGCGGAAGCCUGAUGCAGAAACCCCGGGGGGGGGAAGGCGGCCUUGGGGUUGUAAACCGCUUUCGCCUGGGACGAAGGGGGAGUGCCGGUAAUGGGUAAAAAAGCACCGGCAAAUUCCGU
rnacentral:rRNA from 1 species